UACGGAGGGUGCAAGCGUUAUCCGGAUUCACUGGGUUUAAAGGGUGCGUAGGCGGGCAGGUAAGUCCGUGGUGAAAUCUCUGAGCUUAACUCAGAAACUGCCAUGGAUACUAUUUGUCUUGAAUAUUGUGGAGGUAAGCGGAAUGUGUCAUGUAGCGGUGAAAUGCUUAGAUAUGACAUAGAACACCAAUUGCGAAGGCAGCUUACUACACAGUUAUUGACGCUGAGGCACGAAAGCGUGGGGAUCAAACAGG
rnacentral:rRNA from 1 species